rnacentral:rRNA from 1 species
UACGGAGGAUCCGAGCGUUAUCCGGAUUUAUUGGGUUUAAAGGGUGCGUAGGCGGCACUCCAAGUCUGCGGUGAAAUGUCAGGGCUCAACCCUGUCACUGCCAUGGAAACUGGGGAGCUUGAGUGCGUUUGGGGUACAUGGAAUGUGCGGUGUAGCGGUGAAAUGCAUAGGUAUCGCACAGGACGCCGAUCGCGAAGGCAGUGUACCAAGCCGCAACUGACGCUGAGGCACGAAAGCGCGGGGAUCGAAC